UAGUGGACGACCGUCGGUCUCUUCCGUGGUGAGCCGUGAAUCAGAAUCCGUCUCCCCGUCUGAUCCGUGGACCAGGAAAUUCGAUUUCCGUGUAGUGGUGACAGGAACGAAUUGAAGGCAGGACCGAGUCUUCUCGGCUACGGCGUCGGUCAUUUGGAAGCUGGAGACUCCGGGACAGGGGCAACUAGCGCCGCCGGCAAGCCGCCAUGGAUUUUCUGAUGCAGCCAAUCAGCAGAUUCAGAUCUAGUCUGCUUGAGGAGGUAGGGGAUAGCUUGGUGCCGGCUCCUGUGGCUGUCAAUCUGGAAGUGGCACCGAAGGCGGAGUGGGAGGCGGCGCAGCAGCUGACGGUGGAUAGCGGUGAAGCACAAAUCUUGUUGGCGGAGGAGGUGGCGGCGAACAGAAGGGAGGGCUCGCCGCCAACGUUGGAGCUGUCGACGGGGAAGAUGAAUCCCCAAGCACCAGGGUGGAACAAAAGGCUAAGAGUUGGUGCUGCUGCCCCCAUCAGAACACCAUGCCCACCUCGUGCGAGUGCGUUUGAGAAGGCAGUCAGGUUUUGGCAUCCGGUAUGGCAAGAGAUGGCUAAAUGUCAAGAGGACAAAGUGCAUGCAGGAGAUAGUUUGUGGGUGCUCGGGUAAAGCUGGGGUCGACAACACAAGGUCUUGAGUGCCCUGCUCUGGUUAGACUUUUACGAGCAGAGGAUAACAGGUGGUACAUUGUACCACAUAGAGACAAUCAGAAAUCUCGACGGGGGAAAUGAACCCUCAAGCGCCAGGAUGGUCUAAGAGCACUGCCUUGCAUACCUCUGAAACUUGAUUGCAUAUGAGGUGAUUUCGAUGAAAGGAAAUAAGGGUGAGCUCCAAGCUUCAUGAUCCAAGUUCUGUUCUACUAGGAGAUUGGUGGUCUGCUGGAGUCUAGAUGGUAUCAUUUUGGUUUUUGGUAUGCAUUUCUAUGGCAAUGUAUUCAGGACUACUCGAGCACGACAUAUUAGGUGUAUUCUGAUGCAUUGGGUUAGUUGCUUAGUGCACCUCUUGCUGAGUGCGGAUAAAAGCUUAUCAGCAAACUUAAUCAUGUCCAGUUGCAUGUACCCCCGCGCUGUGC